rnacentral:miRNA from 1 species
CUAUACAGUUUACUGCCUUCCC